rnacentral:rRNA from 1 species
GUAACGCGGGGGUAACCUGCCCUGUACAGGGGGACAACAGUUAGAAAUGACUGCUAAUACCGCAUAAGCGCACAGGACCGCAUGGUCCGGUGUGAAAAACUCCGGUGGUACAGGAUGGACCCGCGUCUGAUUAGGUAGUUGGCGGGGUAACGGCCCACCAAGCCGACGAUCAGUAGCCGACCUGAGAGGGUGACCGGCCACAUUGGGACUGAGACACGGCCCAAACUCCUACGGGAGGCAGCAGUGGGGAAUAUUGCACAAUGGGGGAAACCCUGAUGCAGCGACGCCGCGUGAGUGAAGAAGUAUUUCGGUAUGUAAAGCUCUAUCAGCAGGGAAGAAAAUGACGGUACCUGACUAAGAAGCCCCGGCUAACUACGUGCCAGCAGCCGCGGUAAUACGUAGGGGGCAAGCGUUAUCCGGAUUUACUGGGUGUAAAGGGAGCGUAGACGGCAGAGCAAGUCUGAAGUGAAAGCCCGCGGCCCAACUGCGGGACUGCUUUGGAAACUGCCCGGCUAGAGUGCUGGAGAGGUAAGCGGAAUUCCUAGUGUAGCGGUGAAAUGCGUAGAUAUUAGGAGGAACACCAGUGGCGAAGGCGGCUUACUGGACAGUAACUGACGUUGAGGCUCGAAAGCGUGGGGAGCAAACAGGAUUAGAUACCCUGGUAGUCCACGCCGUANACGAUGAAUACUAGGUGUUGGUGGGCAAAGCCCAUCGGUGCCGCCGCAAA